rnacentral:rRNA from 1 species
GACGAACGCUGGCGGCGUGCUUAACACAUGCAAGUCGAACGGUAAGGCCCUUCGGGGUACACGAGUGGCGAACGGGUGAGUAACACGUGGGUGAUCUGCCCUGCACUUCGGGAUAAGCCUGGGAAACUGGGUCUAAUACCGGAUAGGACCACUGCCUGCAUGGGUGGUGGUGGAAAGCUUUUGCGGUGUGGGAUGGGCCCGCGGCCUAUCGGCUUGUAGGUGGGGUGGUGGCCUACCAAGGCGACGACGGGUAGCCGGCCUGAGAGGGUGACCGGCCACACUGGGACUGAGAUACGGCCCAGACUCCUACGGGAGGCAGCAGUGGGGAAUAUUGCACAAUGGGCGCAAGCCUGAUGCAGCGACGCCGCGUGAGGGAUGACGGCCUUCGGGUUGUAAACCUCUUUCAGCACCGACGAAGCGCAAGUGACGGUAGGUGCAGAAGAAGGACCGGCCAACUACGUGCCAGCCGCCGCAGUAA